rnacentral:rRNA from 1 species
GAAGGUGGCCUGUGAGGGUUGCUGGAGGUAUCAGAAGUGCGAAUGCUGACAUAAGUAACGAUAAAGCGGGUGAAAAGCCCGCUCGCCGGAAGACCAAGGGUUCCUGUCCAACGUUAAUCGGGGCAGGGUGAGUCGACCCCUAAGGCGAGGCCGAAAGGCGUAGUCGAUGGGAAACAGGUUAAUAUUCCUGUACUUGGUGUUACUGCGAAGGGGGGACGGAGAAGGCUAUGUUGGCCGGGCGACGGUUGUCCCGGUUUAAGCGUGUAGGUGUGUGUUCCAGGUAAAUCCGGUUCACUUUAACACUGAGGCGUGAUGACGAGGCACUACGGUGCUGAAGCAACAAAUGCCCUGCUUCCAGGAAAAGCCUCUAAGCAUCAGGUAACACGAAAUCGUACCCCAAACCGACACAGGUGGUCAGGUAGAGAAUACCAAGGCGCUUGAGAGAACUCGGGUGAAGGAACUAGGCAAAAUGGUGCCGUAACUUCGGGAGAAGGCACGCUGACAUGUAGGUGAAGUGAUUUACUCAUGGAGCUGAAGUCAGUCGAAGAUACCAGCUGGCUGCAACUGUUUAUUAAAAACACAGCACUGUGCAAACACGAAAGUGGACGUAUACGGUGUGACGCCUGCCCGGUGCCGGAAGGUUAAUUGAUGGGGUCAGCGCAAGCGAAGCUCCUGAUCGAAGCCCCGGUAAACGGCGGCCGUAACUAUAACGGUCCUAAGGUAGCGAAAUUCCUUGUCGGGUAAGUUCCGACCUGCACGAAUGGCGUAAUGAUGGCCAGGCUGUCUCCACCCGAGACUCAGUGAAAUUGAACUCGCUGUGAAGAUGCAGUGUACCCGCGGCAAGACGGAAAGACCCCGUGAACCUUUACUAUAGCUUGACACUGAACAUUGAGCCUUGAUGUGUAGGAUAGGUGGGAGGCUUUGAAGUGUGGACGCCAGUCUGCAUGGAGCCGACCUUGAAAUACCACCCUUUAAUGUUUGAUGUUCUAACGUGGACCCGUGAUCCGGGUUGCGGACAGUGUCUGGUGGGUAGUUUGACUGGGGCGGUCUCCUCCUAAAGAGUAACGGAGGAGCACGAAGGUUGGCUAAUCCUGGUCGGACAUCAGGAGGUUAGUGCAAUGGCAUAAGCCAGCUUGACUGCGAGCGUGACGGCGCGAGCAGGUGCGAAAGCAGGUCAUAGUGAUCCGGUGGUUCUGAAUGGAAGGGCCAUCGCUCAACGGAUAAAAGGUACUCCGGGGAUAACAGGCUGAUACCGCCCAAGAGUUCAUAUCGACGGCGGUGUUUGGCACCUCGAUGUCGGCUCAUCACAUCCUGGGGCUGAAGUAGGUCCCAAGGGUAUGGCUGUUCGCCAUUUAAAGUGGUACGCGAGCUGGGUUUAGAACGUCGUGAGACAGUUCGGUCCCUAUCUGCCGUGGGCGCUGGAGAACUGAGGGGGGCUGCUCCUAGUACGAGAGGACCGGAGUGGACGCAUCACUGGUGUUCGGGUUGUCAUGCCAAUGGCACUGCCCGGUAGCUAAAUGCGGAAGAGAUAAGUGCUGAAAGCAUCUAAGCACGAAACUUGCCCCGAGAUGAGUUCUCCCUGAGACUUAGAGUCUCCUGAAGGAACGUUGAAGACGACGACGUUGAUAGGCCGGGUGUGUAAGCGCAGCGAUGCGUUGAGCUAACCGGUACUAAUGAACCGUGAGGCUUAACCUUACAACGCCGAAG